rnacentral:rRNA from 1 species
CAGUAGCCGCGGGAAUACGGAGGGUGCAAGCGUUAAUCGGAAUUACUGGGCGUAAAGCGCACGCAGGCGGUUUGUUAAGUCAGAUGUGAAAUCCCCGAGCUUAACUUGGGAACUGCAUUUGAAACUGGCAAGCUAGAGUCUUGUAGAGGGGGGUAGAAUUCCAGGUGUAGCGGUGAAAUGCGUAGAGAUCUGGAGGAAUACCGGCGGCGAAGGCGGCCCCCUGGACAAAGACUGACGCUCAGGUGCGAAAGCGUGGGGAGCAAACAGGAUUAGAUACCCGCGUAGUCCCUGUCUCUUAUAC